GAUGAACGCUAGCGGCAGGCUUAAUACAUGCAAGUCGAACGGUAAGGUCUCUUCGGAGAUACACGAGUGGCGCACGGGUGCGUAACGCGUAUGCAACCUACCUUUAACUGGGAAAUAGCCCCGAGAAAUCGGGAUUAAUGUCCCAUAUUAUUUUCCGAAUGCAUAUUUGGGAAAUGAAAGCUCCGGCGGUUAAAGGUGGGCAUGCGUGACAUUAGCUAGUUGGUGAGGUAACGGCUCACCAAGGCAACGAUGUCUAGGGGUCCUGAGAGGGUUAACCCCCACACGGGUACUGAGACACGGACCAGACUCCUACGGGAGGCAGCAGUGGGGAAUUUUGCGCAAUGGGCGAAAGCCUGACGCAGCAACGCCGCGUGAGUGAUGAAGGCUUUCGGGUCGUAAAGCUCUGUCAAUGGGAAAGAAGUGUAUUGAGGCUAAUAUCCUUGAUACUUGACGGUACCCAUAAAGGAAGCACCGGCUAACUCCGUGCCAGCCGCCGCCGUAAAAC
rnacentral:rRNA from 1 species